CAGCCGCCGCGGUAAUACGAGGGGGGCAAGCGUUGUUCGGAAUUAUUGGGCGUAAAGGGUGCGUAGGCGGUUUGGCAAGUCUUGUGUGAAAUCUUCGGGCUCAACCCGAAGCCUGCACGAGAAACUGCCGGGCUUGAGUAUUGGAGAGGUGAGUGGAAUUUCCGGUGUAGCGGUGAAAUGCGUAGAUAUCGGAAGGAACACCUGUGGCGAAAGCGGCUCACUGGACAAUAACUGACGCUGAUGCACGAAAGCUAGGGGAGCAAACAGGAUUAGAUACCCGGGUAGUCCCUGUCUCUUAUAC
rnacentral:rRNA from 1 species